CAUGUUUGACAGUGAUGUAAAUGGAACAGCUAUUAUGAAAAACGUGCUUAUAGUUUAGCCAAAGAAAAUAUGUAAGGGUAACAUUGUAGGAGGGUGGAGUGUAAACAUAUGAAGAGUCUGGAACCCUGAUGGCAUCAUUAAAUGCUCAAACCAAUGCUGGAAGCUGUCAUCCUCAGAUUUCUUAUGAGAAAAAUGAAUUCCUGUUUAUUUUAGCCCCUGUUUUUUGGGUUGUCUGGGCCUGCACUUGCAAGCAUUUCUGCUGGAUGCAGCAGGUCCCAGGAGGCCCUUUCAGACCUAGGGCAUUUGGUUGCCUUUCCCACUCUGUGCCUUUGCUUAUUUCUUUUUUUUUUUUUUUUUUUUUUUUUUUUUUGACAGAGUUUCACUCUUGUUGCCCAGGCUGGAGUGCAAUGCCGUGAUCUUGGCUCACCGCAACCUCUGCCUCCCAAGUUCAAGCGAUUCUCCUGCCUCAGCCUCCUAAGUAGCUGGGAUUACAGGCAUGUGCCACCAUGCCCGACUAAUUUUGUAUUUUUAGUAGAGAUGGGGCUUCUCCAUGUUGGUCAGGCUGGUCUCGAACUCCUAACCUCAGGUGAUCCGCCCGCCUCAGCCUCUCAAAGUGCUGGUAUUACAGGUGUGAGGCACCACACCCGGCCAUCUUUGCUUAUUUCCUUUUUUUUCUUUUCUUUUCUUUUCUUUUUUUUUUGAGACAGGGUCUCAUUCUGUCUACCAGACUGGAGUGCAGUGGCAUGAUCUCGGUUCACUGCAACCUCUGCUUCCCUGGUUCAAGUGAUUCUCCUGCCUCAGCCUCCCCAGUAGCUGGGAUUACAGACACGUGCCACCACACCUGGCGAAUUUUUUGUAUUUUUAGUAGAGACAAGGUUACACCAUGUUGAACAGGCUGAUCUCGAACUCCUGACCUCAAGUGAUCCACCUGCCUUGGUCCCCCAAAGUGCUGGGAUUACAGGCAUGAGCCACUGCACCUGGCUGCUUAUUUCUUACGGGAUCUCUCCAGUUUAGAGCAGAGGUUCUCAACACAGC
rnacentral:lncRNA from 1 species